GACAGAGGAGGCAAGCGUUGUUCGGAAUCACUGGGCUUAAAGCGCGUGUAGGCGGCUCAGCAAGUGUCGUGUGAAAUCCCCUGGCUCAACCAGGGAACUGCACGGCAAACUACUGGGCUUGAGGUCGGUAGAGGUGCCUGGAACUCUAGGUGGAGCGGUGAAAUGCGUAGAUAUCUAGAGGAAUGCCGGCGGCGAAAGCGGGGCACUGGGCCGAUUCUGACGCUGAGACGCGAAAGCGUGGGGAGCAAACAGG
rnacentral:rRNA from 1 species